CCGUGAGGGAAAGGCGAAAAGAACCCCUGUGAGGGGAGUGAAAUAGAUCCUGAAACCGCAUGCAUACAAGCAGUGGGAGCACCUUCGUGGUGUGACUGCGUACCUUUUGUAUAAUGGGUCAGCGACUUAUAUUCAGUAGCGAGGUUAACCGUAUAGGGGAGCCGUAGAGAAAUCGAGUCUUAAUAGGGCGUUUAGUUGCUGGGUAUAGACCCGAAACCAGGCGAUCUAUCCAUGAGCAGGUUGAAGGUUGGGUAACACUAACUGGAGGACCGAACCCACUG
rnacentral:rRNA from 1 species